UCCAAGCGCCGUCGGCGCCACCACUCCAGACACUGUUCACGAGGCCUCAAAGCGUGGAGGCGGUGGCCCGGGGCCGACUCUCGGGUGACCGCCAAUUUGGUCCCAAGACACUUCAGGAUCUCGCAACGGAUGGAGGACAGCGCGGUUCCAAGAGAGGGCGCCAAAGGCGACGCGCUGGCGGCCAGCUCCAAGCCAACCAGGCCCAUUGCGUCCGUCUGCAGGAACCUGUCCCUUCACCCUGCUUUGGACACUGAGCUUCGGAGGAUCUGGCUGCGAGCUGAUUCAACGCCAGGGCGCCGCCUAGAGGACAAGAGGGGAUAUAAACUGUUUGAAGUUCAUCAGCACGGUGAAGUUUUAUUGUAUUUCCGGUCCCUAAAAGAGAAGCCGGCAGCCAGGCAGACUCCCUCCUUAUCUCCGAGUUUCCACGCCAGGGACACACACGUGGCCAAGCGGACACUUGCCUUCGGGAGCAGGGAGGGAGAGAGCCCGCUCCGAUCGACUCUCCCUCACCGGCUCAGGUAAGUCUAAGAGGCCUCUGAUAGUUGUGGCAUCAACUGAGCCACAACCUGUGAGGAUGUGCGAAGUGACUUUGUAGGGAUGGAAGAGAGCGGGAGACA